UACGUAGGGCGCAAGCGUUGUCCGGAAUUAUUGGGCGUAAAGAGCUCGUAGGCGGCCAGUUGCGUCUGCUGUGAAAUCCCGGGGCUCAACCCCGGGCGUGCAGUGGAUACGGGCUGGCUAGAGGCAGGCAGGGGAGAACGGAAUUCCCGGUGUAGCGGUGAAAUGCGCAGAUAUCGGGAGGAACACCGGUGGCGAAGGCGGUUCUCUGGGCCUGUACUGACGCUGAGGAACGAAAGCUAGGGGAGCAAAUGGG
rnacentral:rRNA from 1 species